rnacentral:rRNA from 1 species
GCGGCAUGCCUUACACAUGCAAGUCGAACGGUAACAGGUCUUCGGAUGCUGACGAGUGGCGAACGGGUGAGUAAUACAUCGGAACGUGCCCAGUAAUGGGGGAUAGCUCGGCGAAAGCCGGAUUAAUACCGCAUACGCCCUGAGGGGGAAAGUGGGGGACCGCAAGGCCUCACGUUAUUGGAGCGGCCGAUGGCUGAUUAGCUAGUUGGUAGGGUAAAGGCCUACCAAGGCGACGAUCAGUAGCUGGUCUGAGAGGACGAUCAGCCACACUGGGACUGAGACACGGCCCAGACUCCUACGGGAGGCAGCAGUGGGGAAUUUUGGACAAUGGGGGAAACCCUGAUCCAGCAAUGCCGCGUGUGCGAAGAAGGCCUUCGGGUUGUAAAGCACUUUUGUCAGGGAAGAAAUCCUUUGGGCUAAUACCCUAGGGGGAUGACGGUACCUGAAGAAUAAGCACCGGCUAACUACGUGCCAACAGCCGCGGUAAUACGUAGGGUGCAAGCGUUAAUCGGAAUUACUGGGCGUAAAGCGUGCGCAGGCGGUUGUGUAAGACAGGUGUGAAAUCCCCGGGCUUAACCUGGGAAUUGCAUUUGUGACUGCACGACUAGAGUGUGUCAGAGGGGGGUGGAAUUCCACGUGUAGCAGUGAAAUGCGUAGAUAUGUGGAGGAACACCAAUGGCGAAGGCAGCCCCCUGGGAUAACACUGACGCUCAUGCAC